ACCUCCAUCCAAACCAUCUUCCUC
rnacentral:siRNA from 1 species